UGCUGCAUGUUUUAGGUAACAUUUUAAUGAUACACGUUUUUAAAAAUCUCCAUUAUUAAAAUUAUGCACGUAAGGAUAACUCAUGAGUUUUUUUGGUUGAUUAAAUGACAUUAUUAGUAAUGUCAAAUGGGCGGGCUAUAAAUGGGUGGCCCGUGUCCAAAUAGAUAUGGUCCGAAAUGGACAGACCCAUAUUGAACCAUAAAUAUUUUUUGUCCAAAUGGGUGAGCCCAACUACAUGGCCAAAUUUGGGUUUAACCAGUUGGGCAAUGGGCGGCCCAAUAAGCUUAAAUGUCUAGGGUUAGGAAAUUGGGGGAAAACAUGAUUUCUUUUUUUUUUUCCGUCUCCUGCGAUUCUUCUUCUUCUCCUGCGAUUCUUCUUCUCCUUCUUCGAUUUUCCUUCUCCUUCUUCGAUUCUUCUUCACUUUUCUUCGGUUCUUCUUCGCUCUUCUUCGAUUCUUCUUCGUUGUCUCUGAUUUCGUCAUCUCUCGAGACUCAGAUGGAUCGGUGAAAGUGAAAACAAAUGCUGGACUAGGAGAUCUGACCGCAGGAACAAAUGAUGGAACGAGUUCAUAAAGGCUGAAUGCUCGUGUGGUCUUCUGCAUAAGUAAAAGACAGAAGAAUUCUUUAAUGCACGUAAGCUGGUUAUGGAGAAACCAGUGUGGUUUUAUAUCUUGUGAAAACGAGUCUUAUCAAACCAGGGUAGGCAAUACAUGUGUUUGCUUUUGCUCUUGGCUCAUGUUAAUGAUUGAGUUUAGCCUUUAGUAGAUCAUGUCAAUUUUUUUUCUCUUUGUUUGGUUAGGUGGUGGAAAAUCAUCUAGUUUGAAGCUCUUAUUGUUGUUGCUGUCGUUGCUGUUGCACCUCCCCUUCCCUAUUGCAUUUGAUUGACAAAUGACGAUUUAUCUUUUGAAUUUAUCUUGUGUUUUUUAUAACUUUGAAACAUGAAGUUGAAAACACAAGUAUAUCAUAUUUAUAAAUCUUUUGAACUGUAUAUGACAUCUUUAAAAUUGAAAAACUUAAGAAUU